rnacentral:tRNA from 1 species
GGAGAGGUGGCCGAGCGGCUUAAGGCGACGGUUUGCUAAACCGUUGUAGGGGGUAAACCCCUACCCCGGGUUCGAAUCCCGGCCUCUCCG